AACGAACGCUGGCGGCAGGCUUAACACAUGCAAGUCGAACGCUCGUAGCAAUACGGGAGUGGCGGACGGGUGAGUAACGCGUGGGAACGUGCCCUGAGGUACGGAAUAACUGCGGGAAACUGCAGCUAAUACCGUAUGAGCCCCGCAAGGGGGAAAGAUUUAUCGCCUUGGGAGCGGCCCGCGUCGGAUUAGCUAGUUGGUGGGGUAACGGCCUACCAAGGCUUCGAUCCGUAGCUGGUCUGAGAGGACGAUCAGCCACACUGGGACUGAGACACGGCCCAGACUCCUACGGGAGGCAGCAGUGGGGAAUCUUGCGCAAUGGGGGCAACCCUGACGCAGCCAUGCCGCGUGAAUGAUGAAGGCCUUAGGGUUGUAAAGUUCUUUUGCCCGUGACAAUGAUGACGGUAACGGGAGAAUAAGCUCCGGCUAACUUCGUG
rnacentral:rRNA from 1 species